GUUUAAACGGGUGCCAUGGUGGUUUGCUGCAGAGAUCAACCUAUCAUUUAGUCUCAGAAUAAAAGCAUGAAAACUGCAAAAAAAGAUGUUUGACAGCUGGUGAGGAAUGGAAGACUUAGAUGGGAGGUUCAGUUACUAGACAGCAGAGCUGAACUUAGAGCUGAAAAUCCACAGACUUAUAACUCAUGUAAGCUGUUUCUCAAAUAUCUGCCCAGUGGUGCUGGUGAGAGCCCGAUGAAAAUGCACAAAGAGUGACACAACCUGGCCACCACUAAGAAGUAAAGAGCUCAGUGAUUUCUCAUCUAUUCUUUCACAGCUACACACCAAUGAAAACAAACACCCGAAACCGUCUUCUGUGGCAUUUGUCAGUUGAAAAAGAACACCUUAGACUUAACUUUUAAAAUGUCUGUAAUAAAAAUAUAAUUCCAUUUUCUUUUCUCGUUUGGUUCUGUUAUGCUCAGUGUUACUUGUGACAGAUAAAACAUUAUUUACAAC
rnacentral:lncRNA from 1 species